GGAGACAGAAACACAUUGAGGAGUGCGCUCUAUCUGGCACCCCGCCCGCUGGAUCUUCACACAAGAGAAAAACGAGCGCACCUCUUCAACUGGCGUAACCCAGUCACCCCACAUCAUCUCUCGGUGAGUGGGCAUCGGACCAGCGGCUAAUUUUCUCCUAAACUACACUUUGGUUCCUGGGGCAGGGAGGCGAGAAAACUGCUUCCGGGACUACCAGCUGCCCCACUGCCAAGCAGCUGGAAAAUGCCCAGUCCAAGGUGUUGAGAGUCAGGUCUUUUAUAUUUUACCUGGCAGGUAAAACCAAGGGGCAAACUGAAUUGUUCAGUUUGCUGUUUUUAAGGAAUAUUGAUGGCAUCGAAAAAUACCCAGCCCACCUCCAGUCCGUAGGCCAGACCAUCACCACGGCAGAUUUCAACCUGAGGAACAUACAGGAGUUCCUCGAAUACUUUCGGGAAACCCUACCUGCCCAGUCUCGCCUGAAUGCGAUGGAUGUGGUGAGCGUGCUGCACAGGGGAUUUUGUGAUCUCUGGAAUACAAGACUCUUGGAGACUGAUGAGUUUCGCUGGCUGGAG